CAGCAGCCACGGUAAUACGAAGGGGGCUAGCGUUGCUCGGAAUGACUGGGCGUAAAGGGCGCGUAGGCGGAUGACACAGUCAGAUGUGAAAUUCCCGGGCUUAACCUGGGGGCUGCAUUUGAUACGUGUUGUCUAGAGUGAGGAAGAGGGUUGUGGAAUUCCCAGUGUAGAGGUGAAAUUCGUAGAUAUUGGGAAGAACACCGGUGGCGAAGGCGGCAACCUGGUCCUUUACUGACGCUGAGGCGCGAAAGCGUGGGGAGCAAACAGGAUUAGAUACCCGAGUAGUCCCUGUCUCUUAUAC
rnacentral:rRNA from 1 species